rnacentral:rRNA from 1 species
GCCCCAGUACGGCGAGUGAAGCGGCAACAGCUCAAAUUUGAAAUCUGGCCUUCUGGUCCGAAUUGUAAUUUGUAGAGGAUGCCUUUGGUUAGGUACCUUCCGAGUUCCUUGGAACAGGACGCCUUAGAGGGUGAGAGCCCCGUACGGUUGGAUACCGAGCCUCUGUAAAGCUCCUUCGACGAGUCGAGUAGUUUGGGAAUGCUGCUCUAAAUGGGAGGUAAAUUUCUUCUAAAGCUAAAUACCGGCCAGAGACCGAUAGCGCACAAGUAGAGUGAUCGAAAGAUGAAAAGCACUUUGAAAAGAGGGUUAAAUAGUACGUGAAAUUGUUGAAAGGGAAGGGCUUAUGACCAGACCUUUUGCCUUGCGGAUCAUCCGGUGUUCUCACCGGUGCACUUCGCUUGGUUUAGGCCAGCAUCGAUUUCGGUAGGGGGAUAAAGACUUUAGUAAUGUGGCUCCUCCGGGAGUGUUAUAGACUAUUGUGUAAUGCCUUUACUGGGAUCGAGGACCGCGCUUCGGCUAGGAUGCUGGCAUAAUGGUCAUCAGCCACCCGUCUUGAAACACGGACCAAGGAGUCGAACAUUUAUGCGAGUGUUUGGGUGUUAAACCCUCACGCGAAUGAAAGUGAACGGAGGUGAGAGCCCUUUUGGGUGCAUCAUCGACCGAUCCUGAUGUCUUCGGAUGGAUUUGAGUAAGAGCAUAACUGUUCGGACCCGAAAGAUGGUGAACUAUGCGUGGAUAGGGUGAAGCCAGAGGAAACUCUGGUGGAGGCUCGCAGCGGUUCUGACGUGCAAAUCGAUCGUCAAAUCUGCGCAU